rnacentral:rRNA from 1 species
AGCAGCCGCGGUAAUUCCAGCUCCAAUAGCGUAUAUUAAAGUUGUUGCAGUUAAAAAGCUCGUAGUUGAAUUUCGGGAUUUGUCAGUUGGUCGGGCUUCACUGUCCGUAUUGACUUGAUGGAUUCUUACCUUCUGAAUAACCAGCAUGCUAUUAAUUUAGUGCGUUGGGGAAGCAGAUCUAUUACCUUGAAAAAUUAGAGUGCUUAAAGCGAGCUAGUGCUUGAAUAGAUUAGCAUGGAAUAAUAAAUAGGACGGCAUGGUUCUAUUUUGUUGGUUUCUAGGAUCACCGUAAUGAUUAAUAGGGAUAGUUGGGGGCAUUAGUAUUCAAUUGUCAGAGGUGAAAUUCUUGGAUUUAUUGAAGACUAACUUCUGCGAAAGCAUUUGCCAAGGAUGUUUUCAUUAAUCAAGAACGAAAGUUAGGGGAUCGAAGACGAUCAGAUACCGUCGUAGUCUUAACCAUAAACUAUGCCGACUAGGAAUCGGACGAUGUUAAUUUAUAAUGACUCGUUCGGA